GAAUUACGGCGGCGGAACCUCGUCCGGUAGCGUUUUCUCGCGGUGGUGGUGAGAAUCUUCCCUACCUCUCUCACAUCUUCCAGCACAUUGGAGCUCAUCUCAUUUCAAUAAGUUCACCUUUUUCUUCUCAGAAAUUUAAGGUAAUCUGUGGUAAAUUUUCUCUCUGUGUUUCAUUUGGGAUGGUUUCUAGUGCUUUAUCUUCAAAUUCACUGAACAGUCUUCUGCAAUAUCUAGUAUGCUGUCACUUCAGUGUGGUUUUCAUCUAAGACAAUAUGGUUUUCAUUUCUAGGAGUUCUAUUUGUGAUUUUUUAAUAUCUUCCAUGUCUCUACUUAGCGUGUUCAGUCUUUUCUCUAGCUUCUUGACCAUAUGGAAUGCAGAUAUAACACUGUUUUAUACUGUUUUUAACUACCACCCUAGAUCCAAGAAUCUCAACUAACCCCAAACAGGGUAAGUGUAAAAAGAAAAGCACAUCAAAGCACAUUAUAAUCACAUUGCUGAAAAGUGCUGAUAAAGAGAAAAAUGAAAAGCAAUAAGAGGAACUAAAAUACACAUUAUGUACUGAGAAACAAAGAUUAAAAUGACAACAGCUUUCUCAUUAGAACCUAGGCAAGUCAGAAGAUAGAACAUUUUUAAUACUCUGAAAGAAAAAAAACCCUGAUUUUUCAUGUAACAAAAAUAUUCAUCAAAAAUCAAGGUAAGAUAAAGAUAUUUUCAGACAAAUCUGAGAGAGGUGGUCUGUAACAUAUUGUACUACAGUAAAAGAAAUGUUGAAGUUCUCCAAGCUGAAGGGAAAUGAUACAAGAUAGAAAGUUGGAUUUAUACAAAGGAAUAAAGAUCCCAGAAAUAAUAAAUAUGGUAAAUAUAAUGAUUCUCAUAAACUAUAUUUUAUUUAAAAGAUAUCUGUUUAAGCAAAAAUAGUAAUAGUGUAUUGUGAGGUUAAUAACGUGUAAAAGUGAAAUGUAUGACAAGAACAGCAACAAAGAAUGGAUGGGAGAAAUGUAAGUAUACUUGUAUGAUUUUUACAUUUUAUCAUGUCGUAUAAUAGUAUUUGAAGAUAGAAUAUAAGUUAAAGAUGCAAUUGUAAACUCUAGAUCAACCACUAAAAAACUAAUACAAAAAUACAGCUAAUGGGACUUCCCUGGUGGUCCAGUGGGUAAGACUCCACACUCCCAAUGCAGGGGGCCAGGGUUCGAUCCCUGGUCAGGAAACUAGAUCCUGUACGCACGCCGCAGCUAAAGAGUUCGCAUGCCACAACUAAGAAGCCCACAUGCUGCAACUAAAGAUGCCAUAUGCCACAACAAAUCUCCCGCAUGCUGCAACUACGACCCAGCGCAGCCAAAAUAAAUAAAUCAACAACAACAACAACAAAAAUAUAUAUAUAUAACUAAUAAUCCAGAAGUGGAAAUUAAAUAAAAUAAUUCAAAUAAACCAGGAAAAUAUUAAAAAGGGGACAAUGAACAGAUCAG
rnacentral:lncRNA from 1 species